rnacentral:rRNA from 1 species
UACGUAGGGGGCAAGCGUUGUCCGGAUUUAUUGGGCGUAAAGAGCGUGUAGGCGGCCGUACAGGUCAGCUGUGAAAACUCGAGGCUCAACCUCGAGACGUCGGUUGAAACCGUACGGCUAGAGUCCGGAAGAGGAGAGUGGAAUUCCCGGUGUAGCGGUGAAAUGCGCAGAUAUCGGGAAGAACACCCGUGGCGAAGGCGGCUCUCUGGGACGGUACUGACGCUGAGACGACGAAAGCGUGGGGAGCGAACAGG